rnacentral:rRNA from 1 species
GCCUACCAAGGCGACGAUCGUUAGCUGGUCUGAGAGGAUGAUCAGCCACAUUGGGACUGAGACACGGCCCAAACUCCUACGGGAGGCAGCAGUGGGGAAUAUUGGACAAUGGGCGCAAGCCUGAUCCAGCAAUGCCGCGUGUGUGAAGAAGGUCUUCGGAUUGUAAAGCACUUUCGGCGGGGACGAUGAUGACGGUACCCGCAGAAGAAGCCCCGGCUAACUUCGUGCCAGCAGCCGCGGUAAUACGAAGGGGGCUAGCGUUGCUCGGAAUGACUGGGCGUAAAGGGCGCGUAGGCGGAUGACACAGUCAGAUGUGAAAUUCCCGGGCUUAACCUGGGGGCUGCAUUUGAUACGUGUCGUCUGGAGUGAGGAAGAGGGUCGUGGAAUUCCCAGUGUAGAGGUGAAAUUCGUAGAUAUUGGG